GACGAACGCUGGCGGCGUGCUUAACACAUGCAAGUCGAACGGAAAGGCCCUGCUUUUGUGGGGUGCUCGAGUGGCGAACGGGUGAGUAACACGUGAGUAACCUGCCCUUGACUUUGGGAUAACUUCAGGAAACUGGGGCUAAUACCGGAUAGGAGCUCCUGCUGCAUGGUGGGGGUUGGAAAGUUUCGGCGGUUGGGGAUGGACUCGCGGCUUAUCAGCUUGUUAGUGGGGUAGUGGCAUACCAAGGCUGUGACGGGUAGGCGGCCUGAGCGGGUGACCGGCCACAAGGCGACUGAGGGACGGCGCAGUCGGCUACCGGAGGCAGUGGUGGGGAAUAUGACACAAUGAGCGGAAGCCUGUGGCAGCGACGCCGCGUGCGUGAUGACCGGCUACUGGUGGUAAACCGCUUUCGCCUGUGACGAAGCGUGAUUGACGGUAAUGAGUAAAGAAGCACCGGCUAACUACGUG
rnacentral:rRNA from 1 species